UACUAUGCAAGCCGAUCUAGACGUUCUCUUGUUAAUCGGGCUGAGAAUGGGGCUUCCACAGUCCCAUGAAUGAUUAGCAGCAACGACUAUCAGCCCAGUUCGUCGAUGCAGGCCGCGUCGUGUAGGGUACGACCUGGACUUCGUCCAGUCUGACAAGGCAGACCGAUGGCAGGGGAACGGCUGUGGCGGCGCCGCCCCUAUUGAUUCGUGCGAUUAAUGGUGUAGCAAUACGUCUCUUCAGUUCAAUCUGUUUCCUUCUGGCUGUUGAUGAUCAUUUCACCUCCUGCCUAUCUUCUCUCUCCCGGUUCCUCAUAUAAGCUGCCCAUAAUAUUCCUCCUGUCGUUCCUCAUGUUUUUUGAGUACUGUUAAUUUCGUAGUUCCUAGCUGCCCUUAUUCCUGCCUGCAAUGUCAUCGAUACCGCUCUAAUCCUUUGAUCUAACUUAUUAUUUGUUUGAGGAGUUGUCGUGCUCACUGGUUCUGGAGUUCUGUGAUGGAGGCCUCGACCUGCUCGGAUGAACUCAAUUUAUGAAAAAUGUCUUCUUGUCAGGUGUUUUUACAGGCUUCUGCUAGCUAGAGCUGCGGCAGGUGUGCUACUGUAGAUCGCUAGGUGCGAAGGAUGGAUGCGUUACAACGGAUGCUUUGUUGGUGUCCACUCCUACUUCCAUGCCUUUGUCCAUCAGUGCUGCUCUUUCCUGAUGAGUAUAUCAACGAGGUGAAACAAAUAAUCACAAACUUGCUGCCUUGAUGGAUUGUAUGGAAUCUCCCUUCUGGUUAUCUUCUAUACCUUCAGUUUUUAGAUUCUACCUCGGAUUAUCUGGGAUUCAUGAAGCAUGUUCAAUAAAUCUGUUGGAACAUAAAUCUGUUGGAACAUAAUAGUGUUCUCUGUAUUUUUCUGAAUAACUCAUUCAUUACUACCGCCUAUGUUGCAAACGAUCCUAGAAUACUAUUCGUCCUGACUACACCAAUUAAGUUUCUGAAUCAUAACUCAUAAUGCUAUUAAUCCUUGUGGUGAUAAUGGUAACAGAGUUAUGGAACUGUAUGCCAAAUUCACAAGUACUCAAGGACUUAGCGAGCAUCUAUUAUGCAGUCAUAGCUCCACAAGUGUUGAUGUCUAUGGUGGUGCUCUAUAUCUUUUGAUUACCUAGAACCGAAGGUUCAUCCUUGCUUGAGCUCUUUUUGUUUCUCUCUGUGCAAAUUUUUUUAUUUUCAUCUUUCUGUCUAAACCAGAUUAACAUUCAUCAUUUCAACUCGCCAUAUUUUUAAGCAAA